UGGAAAUAAAGUAAUGUAUAUAAAUGGAAGAAUAUUUGGAAAAUACUAUUCUGGAAUUCACUACUUCGUGUGUAUGUGUGUGUGUGUGUGUGUGUGUGUGUGUGUGUGUGUAGAAUGGGAGUUGUGCAUGUUUGAUCCAAAUGAAACACACACAAACACAAACACACACAUACACCACAAAGAAAACUGCAUUAGACAUCUUCUUUCUGACACGUACAUUCCAA